CAGGAUGAACGCUAGCGGCAGGCUUAACACAUGCAAGUCGAGGGGCAGCGCGGGGCGGCAACGUCCUGGCGGCGACCGGCGGAAGGGUGCGUAACGCGUGAGCGACAUGCCCGUUGCCCGGGGACAACCGGUGGGAACGCCGACUAAUCCCCGAUGGGACGGAGGCCCUCAUGGGUCUCUGUUGAAAGUUACGGCGGCGACGGAUUGGCUCGCGUCCGAUUAGCUUGUUGGCGGGGUAACGGCCCACCAAGGCUACGAUCGGUAGGGGUUCUGAGAGGAAGGUCCCCCACAAUGGAACUGAGACACGGUCCAUACUCCUACGGGAGGCAGCAGUGAGGAAUAUUGGUCAAUGGGCGGAAGCCUGAACCAGCCAUGCCGCGUGCGGGAAGGAGGCCCUAUGGGCUGUGAACCGCUUUUGCCUGGGGGCAAUAAGGGCGUCGCGCACGUCCGAUGAGAGUACCAGGGGAAUAAGCAUCGGCUAACUCCGUGCCAGCAGCCGCGGUAAUACGGGGGAUGCGAGCGUUAUCCGGAUUCAUUGGGUUUAAAGGGUGCGUAGGCUGUGCGUCAAGUCAGGGGUGAAAUUCCGGGGCUCAACUCCGGGGCUGCCCUUGAUACUGUCGCGCUGGAGUGCGGAUGCCGCCGGAGGAAUGAGUGGUGUAGCGGUGAAAUGCUUAGAUAUCACUCAGAACACCGAUUGCGAAGGCAUCUGGCGAAUCCGUAACUGACGCUGAGGCACGAAAGCGUGGGGAUAGAACAGGAUUAGAUACCCUGGUAUUCCACGCCGUAAACGAUGAUGGCUAACCGCCGGCGACAUACUGUCGGUGGCCAAGCGAAAGCGAUAAGCCAUCCACCUGGGGAGUACGUCGGCAACGAUGCAACUCAAAGGAA
rnacentral:rRNA from 1 species